rnacentral:misc_RNA from 1 species
UGGUAGCUGGGCUGCCAGCCCAUGGUCCAGGGAAACUCCUUCGGGUCGUUCCACUUGGUCGCGCCGGUGGCGACGAACAGUUGCGGCACCUUUUUUGAGUUCAUGUAUUUCUGGAUCGCCGAAUUCGACGGCGUGCCGAGCGCGCCGAACACCAGCAGUACCUCGUCGCUCUCGACCAGCUUGCGGGUCUGCUCGACCGCUUUCGGCGGGCUGUAGGCGUCGUCAUAUGAGAUGAAAUUGAUCUUGCGGCCGUUGAUGCCGCCGUCGUCGUUGACCUUCUUGAAGUAGCCUUCCAUCGCCUUGCCGACGACGCCAUAGGCCGAGGCGGGGCCNNNNNNNNNNNNAUAGGGAAUGAUAUUGCCGAUCUUGAUCUCGGUAUCGGUUGCCCCGGUAUCGUACUUUUUC